UACGAAGGGGGGCUAGCGUUGCUCGGAAUCACUGGGCGUAAAGGGCGCGUAGGCGGACUUUUAAGUCAGGGGUGAAAUCCUGAGGCUCAACCUCAGAACUGCCUUUGAUACUGAGGGUCUCGAGACCGGUAGAGGUAAGUGGAACUGCGAGUGUAGAGGUGAAAUUCGUAGAUAUUCGCAAGAACACCAGUGGCGAAGGCGGCUUACUGGACACAUAUUGACGCUGAGGUGCGAAAGCGUGGGGAGCAAACAGG
rnacentral:rRNA from 1 species